rfam:Zea mays cultivar B73 chromosome 5, whole genome shotgun sequence.
AUACCUUUCUCGGCCUUUUGGCUAAGACCAAGUGUAGUAUCUGUUCUUAUCAGUUUAAUAUCUGAUAUGUGAGCUAUAUGCUUACUUCGAUAUUAAAUUUAUUUUUUAUGGCGAAGAGUUUGAUAUAGUGGCUUGCCACUGCUGCCCUUAAGCGUCGCUCUGCCGUUGCACUUCUGGCGUAGCCCGGCGCACCCAAA